rnacentral:lncRNA from 1 species
GUGAAAUUUCCACCGAGCUACAUAUAGGGUUAAAUCAAGGGGAAGAAAGCAGAACUUGGAAAAACCGACUGUGGGUGUUAAGCAAUCCCCCAGCUGUUUGAAAAAGAGUCUGAGGAUUUCAGGGAGCCCAGAGUUGGGCCAGCUCCCCAGCCCUCUGGGCAGCCCCCAGGCUCUGCACCCUGCCCUUCCACUUUGCUCCAAGUCUCUCAAGAGCCCAGUGUGGUUGGCGGAUGUCUGGGGCAAAGACACAGAUGUCAUUAUUUUGAGCCCCUCCUCAACCCUGCUGCCCCCUGAAUGGCCAGACCAUAGGUCAAAACCAGGGGUGCAGCUGAUGGACCACAGCAGCAAAGAUGCUCCAUUUCCCUCAAAAAAACACCCCAUUGUUUCUGCAGAGCAGCAAAGCCAACCAGGGACUCACCAGGUCCUGGCUGGGGAAGAGAGAUCUCAGCUGUUACAGGCGUUGAAGUCAGGAAACAGGACCCCAGAAACAACUCUCAAGAAACCAACUU